CAAGGAAUUUUCGUCAAUGGGGGCAACCCUGAACGAGCAACGCCGCGUGCGGGAUGACGGCCUUCGGGUUGUAAACCGCUUUUGGGGGGGACGAUAGUGACGGUACCCCUUGAAUAAGGCUCGGCUAACUCUGUGCCAGCAGCCGCGGUAAGACAGAGGAGCCAAGCGUUGUCCGGACUGACUGGGCGUAAAGCGCCCGCAGGCGGCCGUGCGCGUGGGGUGUGAAAGCUCGCGGCUUAACUGCGAGAGGCCAUCCCAUACGGCACGGCUCGAGCCGUCCAGAGGCCGGUGGAAUUGCCGGUGUAGUGGUGAAAUGCGUAGAGAUCGGCAGGAACACCCAGGGGGAAACCAGCCGGCUGGGGACGUGCUGACGCUCAGGGGCGAAAGCGUGGGGAGCGAACCGGAUUAGAUACCCGCGUAGUCC
rnacentral:rRNA from 1 species